AUACGUAGGUGGCGAGCGUUGUCCGGAAUUACUGGGUGUAAAGGGCGUGUAGGCGGGAAUGCAAGUCAGAUGUGAAAUGCCGAGGCUUAACUUCGGAGCUGCAUCUGAAACUGUGUUUCUUGAGUGUCGGAGAGGAAAGUGGAAUUCCCAGUGUAGCGGUGAAAUGCGUAGAUAUUGGGAGGAACACCAGUGGCGAAGGCGACUUUCUGGACGAUAACUGACGCUGAGGCGCGAAAGCGUGGGGAGC
rnacentral:rRNA from 1 species